AAGGCACCUCGUUCGGUGAGGCUUCUUCACGGACACAGGCCACUGAUCCGACGACGUCGAGAGACGCCCAGGGUCAGGACAGAUCCUCCCGACCUAAGGGUUGAUCCGAAGUGGCUUCCGGCCUAUGCGGCCGGACACGCCGUGGAGUGCCAAAGCUCUGACGAGUUGGGGUGAGUC
rfam:Streptomyces sp. CB02056 scaffold7, whole genome shotgun sequence.